GGGUCUGUGCUAGUGUGAGGUACUUGAAGAUAGGUUAUCCGUGUUGCCUUCGCUUUAUUUGUGACGAAUCAUACACGGUUGACCUAUUUUUCAGUACCAAAUCUCGCCUUGGAGGGCU
rnacentral:pre_miRNA from 8 species